GGGACAUUUAGAAUGCUAAGCCAGAGAGCUCUAGUGUGAGAUUUGCGCCCGUACCUUGGGAAGUCAGAUGUGGCCAUGGUGGUCCAUGCUCUCACAUCUAGGAUAGAAUAUAUAUAUAUACAUAUACAUAUAUUUUUAUUUAUUUAUUUCCAGAAUUUAUACCCCGCCCUUCUCACCCGAGGGGACUCAGGGCAGCCAACAAUAACAUGAAUCCUUAUUACCGGACUCUUAAAAAGUAUUGAUCAAACAAACUACAGUAACUAAGAACUGGGGACUCUGUGCAAGAUACAGCCUCCUUUUCCCAUUUGCAUCGGGUAAUUUUGCCUUCACCUUUCAGUGAACCCGCUUUAAUUCAUAUUUCUCUUAGUUUUAGCCCUUUAGUAUAGAAAAGUGUCUUUUGAACAUCAGGUAGAGGCAUGGUCUUUACCAGGGACAUCAAACAUUUUCACAAGAUGGAUCCCAGAUAAAUCGCAUACCACAUUAGCAGGUGCAUGAUUACCUCUUUAUUCUGAAGGUUAGUCUUACCUUUUCAUAAAAAAAAGAACUCUUUUCCACUUGCUUGAAGCUAUAAACCAAAGAAACCAUCUUGACACCAAACAUAAACUCAGUCAGGGUGACAAUCAGGUUGAUGUGUGAAGAUAAUUAGAAAGGAAGCUGUGACGAACCUCAUGGCAUUCCUAAAUUCAUGGUACACAUAGCUGCCUUUCAGAUGAUCUUGACUUUCUCAUUGACCUGAGGCAGUACAUUCUUUUUCCUCUUACGUCCCCCAAUACUCAACUUCUUCCUUUUACCAUUUAAAUAGUUUUGUCAGUGCAUUAUCCUCCAAAUAAAGUGCCUGUGAUGACAGUUUUGCAACAAAAACAAAAAUGAAAUGACACUUAACAGUGAGGCUGCAAGGAAAAUAAACAGAGAGGAGGCAGGUAGGGUGGGAGAUGGAAUGAAAAGAGAAAGGAGAGGAAGAAAAGGGGAGAAAGAAAAUCAGUGGAAGGUAAAUUGAAUGGGAAAUUGUCACUGUAAUGAAUUGAGAGAAUUCCCUUUGGCUUCCUCUGUUUCAUAAGUGAACUUUGGAUGCUCAGAGGGAAAACGGUUAGACUGAAAAAUGGAAUUUUCGAUGUGUUAUGUCUUAGAAUGACAUCUGUGCCAAACUAGUCUUCUUCAGUGUUCUCUAAAUGUGCUGGACUAGAGUUCCUAUAAUGCAGUAGAUGGAAGGCAUCAGGAGUUGUUUAUUGGCCUACAGAAUGUCAGUGUUGCUUCAAAAGCGACUGAAAAGCCGUACAUUUUAAUACUCUAAAACAGGGGUCCCCAAACCUUUUAAACAGGAGGCCAGUUCACAAUCCUUCGGACCGUUGGAGGGCCGGACUAUAGUUGGAUACCGAGCAAUAAUAAUAAUUAAUAACAACAACAACAAUAAAGAGGGUUGGAAGAAACCCCUUAGGCCAUUUAGUCCAAACCCCUUCUGCCUUUGUGCACCGAAAGCACAAGCACAGCACCCCUGACAGAUGGCCACCUAGCCUCAAUGUUAAUAAUAAUAAUAAUAAUAAUAAUAAUAAUAAUAAUAAUAAUAAUAAUAAUAUAGGGUUUUGGAACACAAUACUCCUGACCUCACAAUUGUAUUAAAAAACAAAGUAUGUAUUGUCAAUGUUGCAAUCCCAGGUGACAGAAGGAUUGAGGAGUCACAACUGGAAAAGCUGACAUGAUAUCAGGAUUUAAAGAUCGAAUUACAAAGACUCUGGCACAAGCCAGUCAAGGUGGUCCCAGUGGUGAUUGGCACAUUGGGUGCAGUGCCUAAAGACCUUGGCCUGCACUUAAACACAAUCGGCGCUAGCAAAAUUACCAUCUGCCAGCUGCAGAAGGCCACCUUACUGGGAUCUGCACGCAUUAUUCGCCG
ensembl:lncRNA